UGAUGCCGCGUGAGUGAAGAAGGCCUUUGGGUUGUAAAGCUCUUUUGUAGGGGAAGAUAAUGACUGUACCCUAAGAAUAAGGUCCGGCUAACUUCGUGCCAGCAGCCGCGGUAAUACGAAGGGACCUAGCGUAGUUCGGAAUUACUGGGCGUAAAGCGCGCGUAGGCCGUUGAGUUAGUUAAUUGUGAAAUCCCAAAGCUUAACUUUGGAACUGCAAUUAAAACUGCUCGACUAGAGUUUGAUAGAGGAAAGCGGAAUACAUAGUGUAGAGGUGAAAUUCGUAGAUAUUAUGUAGAACACCAGUUGCGAAGGCGGCUUUCUGGGUCAACACUGACGCUGAGGCGCGAAAGUAUGGGUAGCAAAGAGGAUUAGAUACCCUCGUAGUCCAUACCAUAAACGAUGAUUGCUAGAUGUUGGAAAUUUAUUUUCAGUAUCGCAGCUAACGCAUUAAGCAAUCCGCCUGGGGAGUACGAACGCAAGGUUAAAACUCAAAUGAAUUGACGGGGACCCGAACAAGCGGUGGAGCAUGUGGUUUAAUUCCGAAGAUACGCGCAGAAACUUACCAACCCUUGACAUGUCUGU
rnacentral:rRNA from 1 species